AUUAACUGAAUGUGACACAGUGUCUUAUUUUGGAGGGUGCGACAAAAGAAAACUGCAUUGGAUGCCUGGAAAUUAAUUCAUCCUCAACGGACUAUUGAACCAAACAAUUACAUCGUCAGAAGAAAACAUCACAAAGCAAUCUAUGGACGUUAUUGAGAGAGCAUGAUACACUACUCAAGUUGAAAAAGCUAGAUGUCAACAAAGUACAAUAUUUCUGGCAAUAAA